rnacentral:rRNA from 1 species
GAUGAACGCUGGCGGCGUGCUUAACACAUGCAAGUCGAACGGGAAUUAUUUUAUUGAAACUUCGGUCGAUUUAAUUUAAUUCUAGUGGCGGACGGGUGAGUAACGCGUGGGUAACCUGCCUUAUACAGGGGGAUAACAGUCAGAAGUGGCUGCUAAUACCGCAUAAGCGCACAGAGCUGCAUGGCUCAGUGUGAAAAACUCCGGUGGUAUAAGAUGGACCCGCGUUGGAUUAGCUGGUUGGUGGGGUAACGGCCCACCAAGGCGACGAUCCAUAGCCGGCCUGAGAGGGUGAACGGCCACAUUGGGACUGAGACACGGCCCAGACUCCUACGGGAGGCAGCAGUGGGGAAUAUUGCACAAUGGGGGAAACCCUGAUGCAGCGACGCCGCGUGAAGGAAGAAGUAUCUCGGUAUGUAAACUUCUGUCAGCAGGGAAGAUAGUGACGGUACCUGACUAAGAAGCCCCGGCUAACUACGUG